AGUGAACGCUGGCGGCAGGCCUAACACAUGCAAGUCGAACGGCAGCACAGUAAGAGUUUGCUCUUACGGGUGGCGAGUGGCGGACGGGUGAGGCAUACAUCGGAAUCUACUUUUUCGUGGGGGACAACGUAGGGAAACUUACGCUAAUACCGCAUACGACCUACGGGUGAAAGCAGUGGAUCUUCGGACCUUGCGCGACUGAAUGAGCCGAUGUCGGAUUAGCUAGUUGGCGGGGUAAAGGCCCACCAAGGCGACGAUCCGUAGCUGGUCUGAGAGGAUGAUCAGCCACACUGGAACUGAGACACGGUCCAGACUCCUACGGGAGGCAGCAGUGGGGAAUAUUGGGCAAUGGGCGCAAGCCUGAUCCAGCCAUGCCGCGUGAGUGAAGAAGGCCUUCGGGUUGUAAAGCCCUUUUGUUGGGAAAGAAAAACAGCGGGUUAAUACCCCGCUGUUCUGACGGUACCCAAAGAAUAAGCACCGGCUAACUUCGUG
rnacentral:rRNA from 1 species